rnacentral:rRNA from 1 species
ACUAAGGUUUCCAGAGGAAGGCUCGUCCGCUCUGGGUUAGUCGGGUCCUAAGCUGAGGCCGACAGGCGUAGGCGAUGGAUAACAGGUUGAUAUUCCUGUACCACCUAUAAUCGUUUUAAUCGAUGGGGGGACGCAGUAGGAUAGGCGAAGCGUGCGAUUGGAUUGCACGUCUAAGCAGUAAGGCUGAGUAUUAGGCAAAUCCGGUACUCGUUAAGGCUGAGCUGUGAUGGGGAGAAGACAUUGAGUCUUCGAGUCGUUGAUUUCACACUGCCGAGAAAAGCCUCUAGAUAGAAAAUAGGUGCCCGUACCGCAAACCGACACAGGUAGUCAAGAUGAGAAUUCUAAGGUGAGCGAGCGAACUCUCGUUAAGGAACUCGGCAAAAUGACCCCGUAACUUCGGGAGAAGGGGUGCUCUUUAGGGUUAACGCCCAGAAGAGCCGCAGUGAAUAGGCCCAAGCGACUGUUUAUCAAAAACACAGGUCUCUGCUAAACCGUAAGGUGAUGUAUAGGGGCUGACGCCUGCCCGGUGCUGGAAGGUUAAGAGGAGUGGUUAGCUUCUGCGAAGCUACGAAUCGAAGCCCCAGUAAACGGCGGCCGUAACUAUAACGGUCCUAAGGUAGCGAAAUUCCUUGUCGGGUAAGUUCCGACCCGCACGAAAGGCGUAACGAUUUGGGCACUGUCUCAACGAGAGACUCGGUGAAAUCAUAGUACCUGUGAAGAUGCAGGUUACCCGCGACAGGACGGAAAGACCCCGUGGAGCUUUACUGUAGCCUGAUAUUGAAAUUCGGCACAGCUUGUACAGGAUAGGUAGGAGCCUUUGAAACGUGAGCGCUAGCUUACGUGGAGGCGCUGGUGGGAUACUACCCUAGCUGUGUUGGCUUUCUAACCCGCACCACUUAUCGUGGUGGGAGACAGUGUCAGGCGGGCAGUUUGACUGGGGCGGUCGCCUCCUAAAAGGUAACGGAGGCGCUCAAAGGUUCCCUCAGAAUGGUUGGAAAUCAUUCAUAGAGUGUAAAGGCAUAAGGGAGCUUGACUGCGAGACCUACAAGUCGAGCAGGGUCGAAAGACGGACUUAGUGAUCCGGUGGUUCCGCAUGGAAGGGCCAUCGCUCAACGGAUAAAAGCUACCCCGGGGAUAACAGGCUUAUCUCCCCCAAGAGUUCACAUCGACGGGGAGGUUUGGCACCUCGAUGUCGGCUCAUCGCAUCCUGGGGCUGUAGUCGGUCCCAAGGGUUGGGCUGUUCGCCCAUUAAAGCGGUACGCGAGCUGGGUUCAGAACGUCGUGAGACAGUUCGGUCCCUAUCCGUCGUGGGCGUAGGAAAUUUGAGAGGAGCUGUCCU